AUUGAACGCUGGCGGCAGGCUUAACACAUGCAAGUCGAGCGGAGAUGAGGUGCUUGCACCUUAUCUUAGCGGCGGACGGGUGAGUAAUGCUUAGGAAUCUGCCUAUUAGUGGGGGACAACAUUCCGAAAGGAAUGCUAAUACCGCAUACGCCCUACGGGGGAAAGCAGGGGAUCUUCGGACCUUGCGCUAAUAGAUGAGCCUAAGUCGGAUUAGCUAGUUGGUGGGGUAAAGGCCUACCAAGGCGACGAUCUGUAGCGGGUCUGAGAGGAUGAUCAGUCACACUGGAACUGAGACACGGCCCAGACUCCUACGGGAGGCAGCAGUGGGGAAUAUUGGACAAUGGGCGGAAGCCUGAUCCAGCCAUGCCGCGUGUGUGAAGAAGGCCUUUUGGUUGUAAAGCACUUUAAGCGAGGAGGAGGCUACCUGGAUUAAUACUCUAGGAUAGUGGACGUUACUCGCAGAAUAAGCACCGGCUAACUCUGUGCCAGCCGCCGCCGUAAAAC
rnacentral:rRNA from 1 species